GGGGCGGGCGCGCGUGCGCGCGCUCCUGGGAUUCCGGGUGUGGAGGUUGCCGUCACCACGCCGCUCCUGCCACCUCCUAAUUACCUGAGCGUCUUUCUCUGCAGUUGGGUCGGCCUCAUCUUCUCCUCACCCAUUUGUAAGGCGAAGACCUGGAGGCUCAGUUCAGUCGCUCAGUCGUGUCCGACGAAGACCUGGAGGAAGUAAUGCUUUUUACAAAUAAAGGAGAGAGGAGCCCUGAGUAUGAGCGAAGAACCAAGUCCCUGGGGGAAUUUUCUGAAACAUUAACGGAAAGACAGUCUGAUGACAAAGAUUCCUGAUGAAGAAAAGGAACACUGUCCAUAAAAUAUGCCUUGAGCAAAGACAAAUGUUUCCAAAGAAAUCUCUCACUUGGGAUCCUGUGGAAGAACUAAUGAAUCGGAACCUUUGGGAACUGGGCCAGGUCCUACAUCUUUAACAACCUCUUGGGAAGUUCCUUAUUUCAAGAAUAAAACCUGUGGUUGAUUCCUC